GAUGAACGCUAGCGACAGGCUUAACACAUGCAAGUCGAGGGGCAUCGCGGGCGUGGCAACACGCCUGGCGGCGACCGGCGCACUGGUGAGUAACACGUAUGCAACCUGCCCUCCACAGGGGGAUAACCCGCGGAAACGCGGCCUAAUACCCCGUACGCCCCGGUUCCGCAUGGGACUGGGGUGAAAGGUUCGCUCCGGUGGAGGAUGGGCAUGCGGCGCAUUAGCUUGUUGGCGGGGUGACGGCCCACCAAGGCGACGAUGCGUAGGGGUUCUGAGAGGAAGGUCCCCCACACUGGUACUGAGACACGGACCAGACUCC
rnacentral:rRNA from 1 species